ACAAGAACAUGGAUGCUAAAUCAAGGUUAAAUUUGGUGGGACUCAGGGGCCUAGACGCUGUUAAGGACCUGAGUUUACCUUUCUCAUACCAGACAUCCUAUCUUCUUUGGAAAAUACUCUUACCUGUGACAUUCAGUUAUACUUAAGGCCACCACGGGGAAGAAAUGACAAAUUCUCACUGUGCUGACGAUGUGACUGGUGGAAGCAUCAUGUUUUAUCAGGCUCUCGACCACCUUCCACUGUAAGAAGUCUUCGUCCCAGAGGUGUCGUUCUCGCAGCACUCGGUUCAGGACAACUGAUGGAGGGGCUUCAACUUCCACCGAGGCUUUCCACAGCCUUAGUGGGUUCCCGUCCCCAACCUGGAGAAAAGCAACAGAGAGCAUAAAGCCUCAUGAUUUAUGUCCCUGUGCUCAGCAGAAGGCAACUAAGGACGAAAUCUUGCUAUGGGUAUCUGAUUUUAGCUUAAGAGCAUGCAUAUUUCUCUGCUAAUCAUUGCCAUUAUUGCUAUAGCUGCUGCUCUGUUGCAUGUGAAAACAUGUGUAUACUAGUCCUGGAAGGACAACUGAAGUGAUAGAUUACUUCUGCUCUCGCACCAGUGUAUAUCUGGAUCAGUUCCCAUGGUGCCAGUGGAGUUGCUGUAUUAUUUCUGGUGUGACAGGCACUUUUUCAACCCCAAUCAUAGCAGUGUAAUGAAGAAUAUGUCCAUGCAGAAGUAAAAACAGAUGAGAGAUCCUGAGCUAAAAUAAAGCUGUCCC